rnacentral:rRNA from 1 species
ACGCUCGACACCUACGAGGCAGCAGUUAGGAAUAUUGGGCAAUGGAGGAAACUCUGACCCAGCAACGCCGCGUGAAGGAAGAAGGUUUUCGGAUUGUAAACUUCUGAUCUAGGGGAAGAAGGAAGUGACGGUACCCUAGGAGAAAGCCACGGCUAACUACGUGUCAGCACGCCGACGGUAAUCUGAGGCGGGCGUGGACGAAGGC